UCUGAUUUUAUACGGUGUUUAAGCGACAAUUUUUAAAUACCACAAUACUAAAUUGUUUUAAAUUUACAUGUUCAAAAGUAAGGUAAAGUUACUUGCCUUAAGAAAAUAAUAAUAUGAAAGUUUCUAAUUUUAUUCUAUUUGCCCUUGUUGAGCUAUUCCAAUUUUUAAAUUGCUCAGCAGUGUUCCGUACUUUUCUGAAUACUUUUCUUUAUGAUACAUCUGAAAAGUGCCCGGAAGGUUAUACUUUGAGCCAUAAUCACUGUCGAUGCCAAAAAAUAAUAGUUCACCCAACGGUUCACACAUGGAUUUAAUUGUUAAACACAGAGUUAUGAUGAUGCUUUUUGCUUUAUUAAAAUAAAAAAAGUAACGA